rnacentral:lncRNA from 1 species
UAUUUUGAGAAAUAAGAUAAAUUACAUUUUGGUGAUUGAGUUGGAAUAACAAUAAUAAGAAUGGGUAUGACUUAUGAUUGAAAAUAAAAAUAAUUUAUCUAAAUAAUAUUAUAAUUUGGUUAGAUUUGUAGUUAAUUUUCUAGUUGGAUUAGAAUAAAUAUUUAAAUCUAUUAGUGAUAAAUUAAGAUUUAAAUAUUAAUUAGAGUAUGUAUCUAACUACAUUAGGAUAAAUAUUUAAAUCUAUUGAAGAUAAAUGAAAUACAGAUUUAAAUAUUAACUGAAGUAGGAAUCUUAAUUGGACUAGAAUUCGCGUACGUUUUAAAGAAUGCAUUAUAAAAGCACUCUUUAGGAUACUUUUGGAGUAGAGAGUAUGGCAGCGAGAGGGAGAGAGAGUCCUGGGUGUGCCAUAUUAGAGUUAGCCAUAUGUUGAGUGCACAGGUGUACGUGGAGAGUUAUUUUCUUUGUAGGUUUAUAGAAGACGAGAGAAAGGUGAGAGAAAUUCAGAAAGAGGGCUUAAAUUGUAGUUACUCUAUAUAGGAGAGAGGUUAUGUAUAAUUUUUUCUUAUUUAAUAAAUCUUAUUUUUUUCUCAUAUUUUUUAUUUUGUUGUUUUCUUUUUUUUUGUGACUGCAUCAAUUUUCUCUGAAAAAACGGAUUUAUGGUAAAAAUCUUAUUUGACACUUCUGUUACGAAAUCUCAACAAUCAGUACGGAAUCAACAACAGUUGGUAUCGGAGUGAGUUGCGAAUUCUCAAAAUUCGGUAUCGAGGCGAAUAUCGAAUUUCUAACAAAUAAUAAGCAUCUAAAUGUUAGUAAAAUAAUAUUUUAAUAAGUUGAUUAAGUAAUUAAUUAGAAAUACUAUAUGACAUAAUGAUGAAUAAUGACGUUUGAUUAGUAAAUAAUUUUAAAAAAUAAGUCAAUAUAAAAACUAAUUAAUUAUAAUUUUAGUU